rnacentral:rRNA from 1 species
GACGAACCGUGCGAACGUUGUUCGGAAUCACUGGGCUUAAAGGGCGCGUAGGCGGGCUCUCAAGUCAGGGGUGAAAGCCCGCGGCUCAACCGCGGAAGCGCCUUUGAUACUGGGGGCCUCGAGGGGGGUAGGGGCGUGCGGAACUUCCGGUGGAGCGGUGAAAUGCGUAGAUAUCAGGAGGAACACCGGUGGCGAAGGCGGCCCUCUGGACGGAUACUGACGCUGAGGCGCGAAAGCGUGGGGAUCAAACAGG